UUGCACUGUUCGUAACACGUCGGCCUGGUUGUAGCUGGCAGAUUCCAUUUCAGUGCCACAGCAUCUCCAGCAAUACAUAACUGACCAGUGGCUUUCAGUUUCAGGUCUUGGAGUCAGUG
ensembl:snoRNA